rnacentral:tRNA from 1 species
GGGUCGCUAGCUCAACGGCAGAGCGUCCGGCUGAUCAGCAUGUCCGCCCACCGCUCGCGCGGCCAUGGACACGCUUCCUUCUCAUUCUUGUGGGACCGGAAGGUUCGGGGGUUCGAGUCCCCCGGCGACCCC